rnacentral:rRNA from 1 species
UUCCACAUGAUCGCAUGUGAUUGUGGGAAAGAUUCUAUCGGCGUGGGAUGGGGUCGCGUCCUAUCAGCUUGUUGGUGAGGUAACGGCUCACCAAGGCUUCGACGGGUAGCCGGCCUGAGAGGGCGACCGGCCACAUUGGGACUGAGAUACGGCCCAGACUCCUACGGGAGGCAGCAGUGGGGAAUAUUGCACAAUGGGCGCAAGCCUGAUGCAGCGACGCCGCGUGAGGGAUGGAGGCCUUCGGGUUGUAAACCUCUUUUGUUUGGGAGCAAGCCUUCGGGUGAGUGUACCUUUCGAAUAAGCGCCGGCUAACUACGUGCCAGCAGCCGCGGUAAUACGUAGGGCGCAAGCGUUAUCCGGAUUUAUUGGGCGUAAAGGGCUCGUAGGCGGCUCGUCGCGUCCGGUGUGAAAGUCUAUCGCUUAACGGUGGAUCUGCGCCGGGUACGGGCGGG